rnacentral:rRNA from 1 species
GACGAACGCUGGCGGCGUGCUUAACACAUGCAAGUCGAGCGGUAAGGCCCUUUCGGGGGUACACGAGCGGCGAACGGGUGAGUAACACGUGGGUGACCUGCCUUUAGCUCUGGGAUAAGCCUGGGAAACCGGGUCUAAUACCGGAUACGACUCCGCGGCGCAUGUUGUGGGGUGGAAAGCCUUGUGCGGCUGGAGAUGGGCCCGCGGCCUAUCAGCUUGUUGGUGGGGUGAUGGCCUACCAAGGCGACGACGGGUAGCCGGCCUGAGAGGGCGACCGGCCACACUGGGACUGAGACACGGCCCAGACUCCUACGGGAGGCAGCAGUGGGGAAUAUUGGACAAUGGGCGAAAGCCUGAUCCAGCCAUGCCGCGUGAGUGAUGAAGGCCCUAGGGUUGUAAAGCUCUUUCGUCAGGGACGAUAAUGACGGUACCUGAAGAAGAAGCCCCGG